CCUACGGGUGGCAGCAGUGGGGAAUAUUGCACAAUGGGGGGAACCCUGAUGCAGUGACGCCGCGUGAGUGAAGAAGUAUUUCGGUAUGUAAAGCUCUAUCAGCAGGGAAGAAAAUGACGGUACCUGCCUAAGAAGCCCCGGCUAACUACGUGCCAGCAGCCGCGGUAAUACGUAGGGGGCAAGCGUUAUCCGGAUUUACUGGGUGUAAAGGGAGCGCAGACGGCUGUGCAAGUCUGGAGUGAAAGGCGGGGGCCCAACCCCCGGACUGCUCUGGAAACUGUAAAGCUGGAGUGCAGGAGAGGUAAGCGGAAUUGCUAGUGUAGCGGUGAAAUGCGUAGAUAUUAGGAGGAACACCAGUGGCGAAGGCGGCUUACUGGACUGCAACUGACGUUGAGGCUCGAAAGCGUGGGGAGCAAACAGGAUUAGAUACCCGAGUAGUC
rnacentral:rRNA from 1 species